rnacentral:rRNA from 1 species
AUUGAACGCUGGCGGCAUGCCUUACACAUGCAAGUCGAACGGUAACGCGGGGUCAACCUGGCGACGAGUGGCGAACGGGUGAGUAAAGUAUCGGAACGUGCCCAGUAGUGGGGGGAUAAGCCCCGGGCGGAAAAGCCGGAUUAAUACCCGACAGUGAGACCUGAGGGUGAAAGCGGGGGAUCGCAAGACCUCGCGCUAUUGGAGCGGCCGAUAUCAGAUUAGGUAGUUGGUGGGGUAAAGGCCUACCAAGCCGACGAUCUGUAGCUGGUCUGAGAGGACGACCAGCCACACUGGGACUGAGACACGGCCCAGACUCCUACGGGAGGCAGCAGUGGGGAAUUUUGG